GCCUCCGUAGCUUAGUCGGUAAAACACUCAACUGUGGUGCGGUAAGAUUUGGGUUCGAACCCCAGUGAAGCCA